GAUGAACGCUAGCGGCAGGCCUAACACAUGCAAGUCGAGGGAGGAGCCUUCGGGCUUCGACCGGCGUACGGGCGCGUAACGCGUAUACAAUCUGCCUUUCACAUAGGGAUAGCCCGAAGAAAUUUGGAUUAAUACCUAAUGGUAUAUAGAUGUGGCAUCACCUUUAUAUUAAAGCUGAGGCGGUGAAAGAUGAGUAUGCGUUCUAUUAGCUAGUUGGAGAGGUAACGGCUCCCCAAGGCGACGAUAGAUAGGGGUUCUGAGAGGGAUAUCCCCCACACUGGUACUGAGAUACGGACCAGACUCCUACGGGAGGCAGCAGUGAGGAAUAUUGGACAAUGGUCGGAAGACUGAUCCAGCCAUGCCGCGUGCAGGAAGACGGCCUUAUGGGUUGUAAACUGCUUUUGCAGGGGAAGAAUAAGGACUACGCGUAGUUUGAUGACGGUACUCUGCGAAUAAGCAUCGGCUAACUCCGUG
rnacentral:rRNA from 1 species